rnacentral:rRNA from 1 species
GACGAACCGUGCGAACGUUGUUCGGAAUCACUGGGCUUAAAGGGCGCGUAGGCGGCUUGCCAAGUCGGGGGUGAAAUCCGGCAGCUUAACUGUCGAAGUGCCUUCGAUACUGGCAAGCUCGAGGGAGGUAGGGUCUGUGGAACUGCUGGUGGAGCGGUGAAAUGCGCAGAUAUCAGGAGGAACACCGGUGGCGAAGGCGGGUCUCUGGGCAUUAACUGACGCUGAGGAGCGAAAGCAUGGGGAGCGAACAGG